rnacentral:rRNA from 1 species
GCGGCGGACGGGUGAGUAACACGUGGGUAACCUGCCUGUAAGACUGGGAUAACUCCGGGAAACCGGAGCUAAUACCGGAUAGUUCCUUGAACCGCAUGGUUCAAGGAUGAAAGACGGUUUCGGCUGUCACUUACAGAUGGACCCGCGGCGCAUUAGCUAGUUGGUGAGGUAACGGCUCACCAAGGCGACGAUGCGUAGCCGACCUGAGAGGGUGAUCGGCCACACUGGGACUGAGACACGGCCCAGACUCCUACGGGAGGCAGCAGUAGGGAAUCUUCCGCAAUGGACGAAAGUCUGACGGAGCAACGCCGCGUGAGUGAUGAAGGUUUUCGGAUCGUAAAGCUCUGUUGUUAGGGAAGAACAAGUGCAAGAGUAACUGCUUGCACCUUGACGGUACCUAACCAGAAAGCCACGGCUAACUACGUGCCAGCAGCCGCGGUAAUACGUAGGUGGCAAGCGUUGUCCGGAAUUAUUGGGCGUAAAGGGCUCGCAGGCGGUUUCUUAAGUCUGAUGUGAAAGCCCCCGGCUCAACCGGGGAGGGUCAUUGGAAACUGGGAAACUUGAGUGCAAAAAAGGAAAGUGGAAUUCCACGUGUAGCGGUGAAAUGCGUAAAAAAUGUGGAGGAACCCCAGUGGCGAAAGGCGACUCUCUGGGCCUGUAACUGACCCCUUAAGGAACCAAAACCGUGGGGGAGCG